rnacentral:rRNA from 1 species
UGUCGUCAGCUCGUGUCGUGAGAUGUUGGGGUAAGUCCCGCAACGAAACAACCCUCGCCCUUAGUUGCCAGCAUUCAGUUGGGCACUCUAAGGGGACUGCCGGUGAUAAGCCGAGAGGAAGGUGGGGAUGACGUCAAGUCCUCAUGGCCCUUACGGGCUGGGCUACACACGUGCUACAAUGGUGGUGACAGUGGGCAGCGAGACCGCGAGGUCGAGCUAAUCUCCGGCAGCCAUCUCAGUUCGGAUUGCACUCUGCAACUCGAGUGCAUGAAGUUGGAAUCGCUAGUAAUCGCG